UUAGGUAGUUUCAUGUUGUUGGG
rnacentral:miRNA from 2 species